GGGGCCGUAACAAAAAAUUGUGAAGCAAGUAUUCAAUUACCAAAACAUGCAUCUGUUUCCACUGCUGAAGUUUAUGCUAUAUGGGUUGUUGUUAAAAAGAUUAUCACUGACAAACAAAAAAAUGCAGUCAUCUACACCGAUUCCUUAAGGACACUAAAGGCUCUUCAUCUGAAAUCCGAGUGUGAACCCCUGCUAGGGGAUAUUUUAAACAUCGUGGCUCUUAACAAAUACGGGAGAUCAAUUCAUUUCUGCUGGGUCCGAAGCCACGUUGGGAUACCAGGUAAUGAAGCAGCUGAUGUGCAUUAACGGCAGCGUACAAAGGCAUAACAAAGACAACACUUCCUAAUCGGCCUUGACAUCAAAAUGGCAAUACGAAUGGGACGGGACCACUGUGCAAACAACAAACUACAUCUUACUAACCCCGUCCUUGGCGAGUGGAAGUCAUGCACUCACCAGGAACGGUUCAUUGAAGUAAUUUUAUGCCGACUACGAAUUGGACACCCACACCUUACACACAAUUUUUUACUUCGGAAAGAAGACCCACCAACAUGCGAGAAAUGUCAACAGCCCCAG
rnacentral:lncRNA from 1 species